rnacentral:rRNA from 1 species
CCUACGGGGGGCAGCAGUGAGGAAUAUUGGUCAAUGGACGAGAGUCUGAACCAGCCAAGUAGCGUGAAGGAUGACUGCCCUAUGGGUUGUAAACUUCUUUUAUAAAGGAAUAAAACGAGGCACGUGUGCCUUUUUGCAUGUACUUUAUGAAUAAGGAUCGGCUAACUCCGUGCCAGCAGCCGCGGUAAUACGGAGGAUCCGAGCGUUAUCCGGAUUUAUUGGGUUUAAAGGGAGCGUAGAUGGGUUGUUAAGUCAGUUGUAAAAGUUUGCGGCUCAACCGUAAAAUUGCAAUUGAUACUGGCAGUCUUGAGUACAGUUGAGGUAGGCGGAAUUCGUGGUGUAGCGGUGAAAUGCUUAGAUAUCACGAAGAACCCCGAUUGCGAAGGCAGCUUACUAAACUGUGACUGACAUUGAUGCUCGAAAGUGUGGGUAUCAAACAGGAUUAGAUACCCCUGUAGUC